AAAAGGGGGGCAACCCCCUGAGUAAAGCGGCGCACGGGUGAGUAACACGUAGGUAAUCUACCCUCGAGUCCAGGAUAACCCGCCGAAAGGUGAGCUAAUACCGGAUAUGACCACGGGAGUCUCGGCUCCUGCGGUGAAAGGUGGCCUCUGCUUGCAAGCUACCGCUCGGAGAUGAGCCUGCGGGCCAUUAGCUAGUUGGUGAGGUAACGGCUCACCAAGGCGAUGAUGGCUAGCUGGUCUGAGAGGAUGGCCAGCCACACUGGGACUGAAACACGGCCCAGACUCCUACGGGAGGCAGCAGUGGGGGAUAUUGCGCAAUGGGCGAAAGCCUGACGCAGCGACGCCGCGUGGGUGAUGAAGGCCUUCGGGUCGUAAAGCCCUGUCGAGGGGAACGAAACGGUCUCGACCUAAUACGUCGAGGCCCUGACGGUACCCCUAAAGGAAGCACCGGCUAACUCCGUGCCAGCAGCCGCGGUAAUACGGAGGGUGCAAGCGUUGUUCGGAAUCACUGGGCGUAAAGGGCGUGUAGGCGGUCCGCUAAGUCUGAUGUGAAAGCCCGGGGCUCACCCCCGGAAGGGCAUUGGAAACUGGCGGACUCGAGUCCCGGAGAGGAAGGUGGAAUUCCUGGUGUAGCGGUGAAAUGCGUAGAUAUCAGGAGGAAUACCGGUGGCGAAGGCGGCCUUCUGGACGGUGACUGACGCUGAGACGCGAAAGCGUGGGGAGCAAACAGGAUUAGAUACCCUGGUAGUCCACGCUGUAAACGAUGAGCACUAGGUGUCGUGGGUAUUGACCCCCGCGGUGCCGACGCUAACGCA
rnacentral:rRNA from 1 species